rnacentral:rRNA from 1 species
AUACGUAGGUGACAAGCGUUAUCCGGAUUUACUGGGCGUAAAGGGCGUGUAGGCGGUCUUGCAAGUCAGAAGUGAAAUUCCUGAGCUCAACUCGGGCGCUGCUUCUGAAACUGCAGGACUUGAGUGCUGGAGGGGAUAGCGGAAUUCCUAGUGGAGCGGUAAAAUGCGCAGAUAUUAGGAAGAACACCGGUGGCGAAGGCGGCUAUCUGGACAGUAACUGACGCUGAGGCUCGAAAGCGUGGGGAGCAAACAGGAUUAGAUCCCCUGGUAGUCCACGCCGUAAACGAUGAAUACUAGGUGUAGGGGGUAUCGACUCCCUCUGUGCCGCAGUUAACACAAUAAGUAUUCCGCCUGGGGAGUACGGCCGCAAGGUUGAAACUUAAAGGAAUUGACGGGG